UACAGAGGGUGCAAGCGUUAAUCGGAAUUACUGGGCGUAAAGCGUGCGCAGACGGUUGCGUAAGUCAGAUGUGAAAGCCCCGGGCUCAACCUGGGAAUUGCAUUUGAGACUGCGUAGCUAGGGUGCGGAAGAGGGAAGCGGAAUUUCCGGUGUAGCGGUGAAAUGCGUAGAUAUCGGAAGGAACACCAGUGGCGAAAGGCGGCUUCCUGGUCCAGCACCGACGUCAGGCACGAAAGCGUGGGGAGCAAACAGG
rnacentral:rRNA from 1 species